UCUCCAGCUGUUUUUGGACUACAACUCCCAUCAUCCCUGACCCCAAGCAAGAGAUGAUGGGAGUUGUAGUCCAAAAGUAGCUGGAGA